rnacentral:rRNA from 1 species
UACGGAGGGGGCAAGCGUUGUUCGGAAUUACUGGGCGUAAAGGGCGCGCAGGCGGCUGCUCAAGUCAGGCGUGAAAGGCCUGGGCUCAACCCGGGAAUUGCGCUUGAGACUGGGCUGGCUUGAGUGCGGGAGAGGAUGGUGGAAUUCCCGAGUGUAGAGGUGAAAUUCGUAGAUAUUGGGAAGAACACCGGUGGCGAAGCGGCCAUCUGGACCGCAACUGACGCUGAGGCGCGAAAGCGUGGGGAGCAACAGGAUUAAGAAACCCCG